rnacentral:rRNA from 1 species
UGGGGAAUAUUGCACAAUGGGCGAAAGCCUGAUGCAGCAACGCCGCGUGAGUGAUGAAGGCCUUCGGGUUGUAAAGCUCUGUCUUUUGGGACGAUAAUGACGGUACCAAAGGAGGAAGCCACGGCUAACUACGUGCCAGCAGCCGCGGUAAUACGUAGGUGGCAAGCGUUGUCCGGAUUUACUGGGCGUAAAGGAUGCGUAGGCGGAUUUUUAAGUGAGAUGUGAAAUACCCGGGCUUAACUUGGGUGCUGCAUUUCAAACUGGGAAUCUAGAGUGCGGGAGAGGAGAAUGGAAUUCCUAGUGUAGCGGUGAAAUGCGUAGAGAUUAGGAAGAACACCAGUGGCGAAGGCGAUUCUCUGGACCGUAACUGACGCUGAGGCAUGAAAGCGUGGGUAGCAAACAGGAUUAGAUACCCUGGUAGUCCACGCCGUAAACGAUGAGUACUAGGUGUAGGAGGUAUCGACCCCUUCUGUGCCGCAGUUAACACAAUCAAGUACUCCGCCUGGGAAGUACG